UGGGGAAUAUUGCACAAUGGGCGCAAGCCUGAUGCAGCCAUGCCGCGUGUGUGAAGAAGGCCUUAGGGUUGUAAAGCACUUUCAGCGAGGAGGAAGGCAUCACACUUAAUACGUGUGGUGAUUGACGUUACUCGCAGAAGAAGCACCGGCUAACUCCGUGCCAGCAGCCGCGGUAAUACGGAGGGUGCAAGCGUUAAUCGGAAUUACUGGGCGUAAAGCGCACGCAGGCGGUUUGUUAAGUCAGAUGUGAAAUCCCCGCGCUUAACGUGGGAACUGCAUUUGAAACUGGCAAGCUAGAGUCUUGUAGAGGGGGGUAGAAUUCCAGGUGUAGCG
rnacentral:rRNA from 1 species